GCAGAUUCACACUACAAGGAAUACUAAAGGACGUUCUCCACAUUGAAGGAAAAUGAUCUAAAGAGAAACAGAUCUGUAAGAAGAAAUGAAGAGCACUGGUAAAGCAGCACAUAAAUCAUACAUCAGUCAUCCAGUGAUACAAAGAGGUGGCCAAUUGUGUCUGAAGUAGUCACUUGUAAAGGAUCACAACCCAGGCAGUGUUGCUUUUCUGCAAACAGAAGGAAACAGAAGGCUCCAUGGUCCUUGAAGAUUAUCCAAGUUUUCCACUAGUUGUCAAGAUUUCUGUCCCAACCUCUUAGUCACCAUUUACAGCAAGAAGAGCCAGCAAGUGAAAAACUGUUAAUUUAUUGAUUCAAAGUUGUUUUUUUUCUUUUUAAAAAACAAUCCCCAAUACAUGCAGUUCAGGGUUAAGUAUCACAUUUGUAGCACAUUGUUGAGUCUCAAAACAAAAAUAUGCAUCACCUGUAUAAUCCCAUCACAUCUUUUUCCAGCCUCUACAAUACCUAGUUGGGGGUGUUUUCAUUUAUACAUCCACAUAGCUCAGAAGCAUGUUAUUAACGGUUGAUCUGGCCCGAUGCUUCUCCGCCACCUCCCCUGCCCUGGUCUCCACCUCGGGGUUAUUUUUUUCUAAAGGCAGGAUGUUACUCAGUCUUAAUUUAUUAAGAUCACUGACAAACUUUGGCUUCUUGUGUGCUCAUGUGGUCCCUGCUUUUGCUUUCGGAAGGGUUUAUAUUGAAACGACUGUGACUCUGAUCGGUUAUUAUCCCCUCAUUUUUUGUAGGAAAUAAGUUUGCUUGUUUCUGUGGGUGCUCACACAGUAACACAGGUUCCUAAAGUAACCAUUUAAUCUGAACUGGUAUUAAAGGAAACUGUUAACCAGGCUCUCUUAGAUCUAUUUCAGUUCAUAUAAAAAAACUCUUCCAAUUGUUGCUUGUGUCUCAAAGUAGUUCUGCUUCCAUCCUUAUCAACAGAGCACCUGGGAGAACCUAAGUCAUUUCCCUGAGUAGGCACAGACCACGAGCCCCGCGGCACCCAGCUCUCUCUGGGACUAAGCGCCUGACUCGAGAGCACCACCUUUCAGUCCACUGGGACCAAUCCAGUGGGCAGCGCCCUCCCCAGGGUACAUUCCAGAACAUAAACUUGGUACCCUCUAAUUUAUCCCCUCAAGAAGUUAAUUUCCUCCUCAAGAGCUACCUUUAGAUGGAUUUUCUUAUUGGUCCCUUUUCUUUUAACAGCCCUUCCCCUAGCCACUCUCUUCAAGUCCCCAAGGAUUACGAGUUUGUCUGUCUCCUCUAAUCUAUCAGUCUGAGAGCACCUUCCUCUCUGCAAGGGAACACAUUUGCUUUAAACCUUGUGAGUGCUGACAUGUUACAGAAUGUCUGGGAGGAGGCCUGGCUGAGUGACUGGUGUUUAAGUGCCUCAAUGAACGACAUCAGCGCUUCUCUAGUUGGUGAGAAGGCCCAGGAAAGCUUGGUCUGCGUCAUACACUCAAUAGCUUCUCCUACCCAGCCACCUACCCUGCCUACAGGGAUAGGAUGAAAGCAAGGCCAGCUGACAGCAUCCAGGGGAGAGUGAACUGCCACCACACCAGAGGUGCAAAUGUGACUCAGCACUUCAUGAGUUCUACUCUCACCAUGGGAUUUCUCAGCAGAAGCAAACCUUGCAGUCAGGCUCACUUGUAGCCAACAAAUGAUAUAGCCAUCUGGAUUUGGCAUAGGAACCUUUUGUUCUCACCAUACCAGGUCUAUGUUCUUGAACAUAGGCAGUACCUGAGAUGAUAGUAUAACACUACCCUGUUCCCCACAUUUUUUGCUUUUCUUUAGGAAAUAAUUAAGUCCUUAUCAUAGGCACUUUUAACCUGUUUAAGAUAAUGAAGCAAACAAAUGAAAAGUACUGAGAUGAGUUUAAGAAAGAAUAUGCUAACUGAAAAGGAUACUGGGUGCGUACAUUUACCAUGGUUUAGUCUAAAUAUUAGACACACAGACACACACACAGACACACACACAGACACACACACAGACACACACACAGACACACACACACCCCUUUUGGAACUCUCCAAGACCAUCUCCGAAUCUAGGUAAAUAGUCUUAAAAUUUCGGGGGAGCUAGGUUUGGAAACAAAAAUGGUUUUUGGAGACAGGAAAAGAGAUGGUCUGAAACUGGACUCACUUCAGUUUGGAAAGGAAUAGCCUAGGUGCCAAGACCAGACCCAGGAAGGGGUGAGCAUUUCAAGCCCAGUUAUGGUCUAAGUCUAAGGCAUGAAGAGAGGUAAAAGUCUAGGUGCUGGAAAAGCAAGCUGUGUGCUUCAAAGGAAGAAUGCCUGUGUCAAAGCUGCAGUUACAAAACCCCAGGACAAGGCAGGCAGGCGGUGUCUGCACCUACAUCACCGUCAGAGAGACAGGCAGAGGUCAAUCACCUGACUAUUCUCCUCCAGGUACUUUUAUUACCUUUGGGGGACCCAAGGGAAAGGAAUGGAGUUACCGCUUCACCAAGACCCUCCAGUAGGCACCUCUUGCCUGGUCCAGACAGGCAACUUAAAAAAAAAAAGGGAGGGCUGAGGAGUGGGGUGGGGUGAUAAAGGAGAUUGGAGGGGGAGCAGGAAAGACACGCAGUGGCACAUCUCCCUGAUGAUAACCAAUGCUUCAGGAUUGCCUAUAAGGGCAUAUUAGAAGGCUUUUGAUAAUCUCAAACACUGAGUUUUGCUGCCUGACAUAUCAAUACAGGUUUAGCCAAAGAGCUCACAUCUUGCUUUUGAUUUUCAGGUAGAACAAAUGUUUACAUUAGUAUACAGAAUGUGCAAUGCAAGCAGGCAGCAUUGGUAUGAGAACCUUAACUGAAUGCAUUCCUUGGCUUUGGGAUCUUAUUUAUUUUUUACUCUAUAAACUCAACUCUAUAAUAAGAGAAGAGUUUCAUUUGUAUUUUAAGUUCCCACAGACCAAACGACAAAAAUAGAAUCUACAUUUAGAGUAGGAUCUGCUACCAAUACCAAUAAGAUUUUAUUGGAAUAUGGAAUGUAAACAAAUGUUUCAAACAAACAUCUAACCUUAUAAAAAUGUAUGGCAUUAUUAAAUAGUUAAUAAAGAAAUCUUAAAGGGUGAUGUGGUAGACACCUCUAGUUCUAGCCUAGGUGUGUGAAGUCCCCACAGCUGUGGCAUGGCCCUGCAGCUGGGGUGAGGGGACUGCCUACAAACCAUGUUGCUCCUGAGUCCCCAAAAUGAAAUCAGCCCUAUUUUUGUUUAAACAAACUCUAGCUUUCUCUGCUAACAUGAAGGUUUGCAAAAUGGAUCCAACACUUGCUCCGGGAGCACCAUUUUCUUCCCCAAGCCCCUUGUAUAUUCCUCUGAGUUGCUUGAGUUUCAGAUGACCCUGCCCACACAACUCUAGUACCUGCAUGCAAGACAGACUUAUCUUUGCCAUCACAUAAAUGUAUCACAUAUCAGAACUUACAAAUGCAUAUUACCCUGAUUACAGUGGGAAACUGUGUCUCAUGGGGAUAAAAGGAGGUGGGAGAGAGAUAUUUUUUUCCAUAAGUCUUUCCUGAAAAAAUUCUAAUGGGAUGUUUUCCUCCCUCGCCUUGCCUGAAGACUGACUUUCCAGCUUUAGUUAUGGUUGUGAACAAAAAGGUCUCUGUUUCAGAGAGGUGCAUUAAAAUAGGCGCACACAUAGGGAUGUGCUGGGAAAUGGUGAAGUUCUCCUUACAAGGCUGCCAAAAAAAAAAAAAAAAAAAAAAAAGAAAAAGCAACAAAAAA
rnacentral:lncRNA from 1 species